GGCAGCCGCCGCGGUAAUACCGGCGGCUCGAGUGGUGGCCACUUUAUUGGGCUUAAAGCGUUCGUAGCUGGGUUGUUAAGUCUCUUGGGAAAUCCGGCAGCUUAACUGUCGGGCGUCUAAGGGAUACUGGUAAUCUUGGAACCGGGAGAGGUGAGGGGUACUUCGGGGGUAGGAGUGAAAUCCUGUAAUCCUCGAGGGACCACCUGUGGCGAAGGCGCCUCACCAGAACGGCUUCGACAGUGAGGGACGAAAGCUGGGGGAGCAAACCGGAUUAGAUACCCGGGUAGUCCCAGCCGUAAACGAUGCGCGUUAGGUGUAUCGGUGACCACGAGUCACCGAGGUGCCGAAGGGAAACCGUGAAACGUGCCGCCUGGGAAGUACGGUCGCAAGGCUGAAACUUAAAGGAAUUGGCGGGGAGCACCACAACAGGUGGAGCCUGCGGUUUAAUUUGGACUCAACGCCGGAAAUCUCACCGGAUAAGACAGCUGAAUGAUUGCCGGGCUGAAGACUCUGCAUGACUAGCUGAGAGGAGUGGUGCAUGG
rnacentral:rRNA from 1 species